CCUCCAAAGUUUCCCUCAGGAUAGCUGAAACUCUUGCAAGACCCAUGCAGUUUUAACCAGUAAGGUGAAUGAUUAGAGGUCUUGGGGCCGCAACAUUUUA
rnacentral:miRNA from 1 species